rnacentral:rRNA from 1 species
AUACGGAGGGUGCAAGCGUUGUUCGGAAUUACUGGGCGUAAAGCGCGUGCAGGCGGUAAGGUAAGUCAGAUGUGAAAGCCCCGGGCUCAACCCGGGAAGUGCAUUUGAUACUGCCUUUCUUGAGUAUGGGAGAGGAGAGUGGAAUUCCCAGUGUAGAGGUGAAAUUCGCAGAUAUUGGGAGGAACACCCGUGGCGAAGGCGACUCUCUGGACCAAUACUGACGCUGAGACGCGAAAGCGUGGGGAGCGAACAGGAUUAGAUACCCCGGUAGUCC